AGAGGGGUGCGAGCGUUAAUCGGAAUUACUGGGCGUAAAGCGCACGUAGGGUGGAAGAUUAAGUGAGAUGCGAAAAGCCCGGGCUUAACCUGGGUCGGUCAUCUGAAACUGGUCAUCUAGAGUAGAGUAGAGGGAAGCGGAAUUUCCGGUGUAGCGGUGAAAUGCGUGGAUAUCGGAAGGAACACCAGUGGCGAAGGCGGCUUUCUGGACUCAUACUGACACUGAGGAGCGAAAGCGUGGGGAGCAAACAGGAUUAGAUACCCUGGUAGUCCACGCUGUAAACGAUGAGAACUAGCUGUUGGGGGGAUAUAACCUUUAGUGGCGAAGCUAACGCGAUAAGUUCUCCGCCUGGGGAGUACGGCCGCAAGGCUA
rnacentral:rRNA from 1 species